GAACUGAAGAGUUUGAUCAUGGCUCAGAUUGAACGCUGGCGGCAGGCCUAACACAUGCAAGUCGAGCGGUAGAGAGAAGCUUGCUUCUCUUGAGAGCGGCGGACGGGUGAGUAAUACCUAGGAAUCUGCCUGAUAGUGGGGGAUAACGUUCGGAAACGGACGCUAAUACCGCAUACGUCCUACGGGAGAAAGCAGGGGACCUUCGGGCCUUGCGCUAUCAGAUGAGCCUAGGUCGGAUUAGCUAGUUGGUGAGGUAAUGGCUCACCAAGGCUACGAUCCGUAACUGGUCUGAGAGGAUGAUCAGUCACACUGGAACUGAGACACGGUCCAGACUCCUACGGGAGGCAGCAGUGGGGAAUAUUGGACAAUGGGCGAAAGCCUGAUCCAGCCAUGCCGCGUGUGUGAAGAAGGUCUUCGGAUUGUAAAGCACUUUAAGUUGGGAGGAAGGGCAGUAAAUUAAUACUUUGCUGCUUUGACGUUACCGACAGAAUAAGCACCGGCUAACUCUGUGCCAGCAGCCGCGGUAAUACAGAGGGUGCAAGCGUUAAUCGGAAUUACUGGGCGUAAAGCGCGCGUAGGUGGUUUGUUAAGUUGAAUGUGAAAUCCCCGGGCUCAACCUGGGAACUGCAUCCAAAACUGGCAGGCUAGAGUAUGGUAGAGGGUAGUGGAAUUUCCUGUGUAGCGGUGAAAUGCGUAGAUAUAGGAAGGAACACCAGUGGCGAAGGCGACUACCUGGACUGAUACUGACACUGAGGUGCGAAAGCGUGGGGAGCAAACAGGAUUAGAUACC
rnacentral:rRNA from 1 species